UAUUAAUCAUUUAUAUAUUAUUUAAUUAGUUUCACUUAAUUAUUAAUAUUUUAAAUUAUAUUAAUAAAAUUAUCCAACAGUUAGAGGAGUCUAGGUUUUACUUUUUCUUUCUCUAUUUCGUUCGGCUUCGUUGUUUCGUAUGAUGGUAGAGUUUUUCACGAGUUCUUCGUCAUUGUUCGACUUUGCUCCUUCGACUACGUUCCCUUCUUGUUAGAUCGAAAGUUACGACAGUUUUUUGAUCGGAAGCAACAAUGGGAGCUUGCUUGUUGUGUAGGUAACUUUUUCCCUUGCCCAUGCUUCUUCGGGAAUCAAAGGAUUUAAUCUGGGAUUUACCACGAAAAGAGGGAAUGUUCCGUCAACCGCGGAUUUGUUUUACUGUGAGAUUUGGUUUUGCAUUUUGGGCUGUUUGGUUGGAUUUAGCUCAAAUCCACUUCAAAUCCGGCUUAAAUCCUGCAUCCAAACAGCCCCUAAGUGUUGAUGCUGUGAUGCAUUUGCUAUUCGAAUCUUCCUUGGUUUAGUUGUCAUAUCUUUAAUUUAGAAUGGCGAGGUAUUAAAAAUCACCAGAUAUCUGCUAGUAAAAGAUGCUUCCCCCCUUUUUUUAAUUAGGGCUUGAGCUGAGAGGACAGCGUGAAAGCUUUUUCUAUGAUUGAACACCCCCAUUUAUGCAUGGAUAUAUAUCUAUAUACAUAUACAUACAAACAUACAUAUGUGUAUGAUAUACUUCUUGCAAUCAAAUUGCCCUUAACUUGAGAAAUUAUUGGAUUGGUGUGGACAAUGAGGAGAAAUAUUUGCAUGGUGCCAACAAGUGACUGAUCUUUUGAAAAUAAACUUUCGUAUACUCAUUUUGUAAUGGCGAACAUUGAGGAUGGAAUGAAAUAUCUCAGGCAACUGAUGUUUAUUAGUUAUAUUGCUCUCUCUCUCUCUCUCUCCUUCCCUCCUUGAAGCACGGUGCAAUAACCAUGGGUUGGUACCGUCUUCUCUCUAAAGUUCUUAUAACAUUCCCGUUUUGGUUAGUUGCUGAUGCAUAUUUGCAUCGGAUCAGCACAUGAGAUUGUGUAUAUUCAGCUCCUCUCUCCCCUUUCAUCCUUGAGCGUCCAUUAUGUUACAACCCCUUGUCAGCUUUCAUUUUAUUUAUUACAAGCUGUUUCCAUUUCAAGUCUUCAAUCCACCUUUUACCCGGACCAUGCAAUGCUUCAGCUGUAGAGAGAGAAAGAGUAAUGGGGUAAAAUAUUGAGGAAGGAAUGACUUUCCAUUGUGGAAAGAAUGAUGAAAAGAGAUUUUGACACAUAGUUGCAGGGGAGGACUUAGCCCGCGCGCAUGCUGGGGCGAGCCAAACAGAUUGGUCAAAGAUCUCCUCUAAAGGAUUUGGCCGCUCUACUUAACAGGGGCUUUGCAUAUCUGCUUGAAGGCAAUUAACUCCUUUACCCUGGGAAUGUCUUAAUGGUAGUGUUGAUAAUGCCCAAUAUGCUUUCCUCGACACCCUUUGAUUGUAUUGAUAAGUUAUCUAGGAUGGCCUUUGGUGGCAAUUGAUGUGGCCAUCAGCUAUUUACUCUUCUUUGGAUAGGGCUGCAAACAAACCGAAUCUAGCCGAGUAUGUGAGUGCUCUUGUUUGAGUUCGUUUAUUAUCAGCUUGUUCAACUUUGGUUCGUGUUUGAUUCGAGUUUUAUUGUUAGUGUUCAUGUUUGAUUCGUUUAAAUUAAUGCAUAUUAAUGUUCGGUUCGUUUAGUGCUUAUCGAGCUUUAAACAAACAAGCCUUAACGAGCUAUGUUACUAAACAUAUUUAGCAAAUUUUUUUUUUAAAUUAUCAAACAACCGCAUUCAUGAACAUGUCUAAUGAGUAUUCUUAAGCUAUCAAAUGAGCAAUUUCAUGAAUAUAUAUAACUAGUGUUUUCGAGCUAUCAAAUGAGCACGUUCACGAACAAACGAUCUAUGAUUCAUCUUAUAUAUAUUUAUGAACAAUUUGUUCAAGAAUCAAGCUUUUAUCGAGCUUCUUAUCGUGCUUAAUGUUGAGCUUGUUCACGAGCUUCAAAUGAUGUUGUUCGUGAACAUAAAUGAGCCAAACAUAUUAGUGUUCAAGCUUGUUUAUUUAAGAAUCGAGUAUUUAAAAUAUUGUUCAAAUUUGUUUGUUUGGUUAAUUAAAUGACCACAAAAGAGCUUUAAUCGAGCCGAGCAACGAUAUAUUGUCGAACGCUUGGUUCGCCUGCAGCCCUACUUUUGGAUGCUUGGUCUACCACCUUUUUUACCUUUUAUCUUACCUUCAUUUUUGGGAAGAUCCAACAGCUUUUAAACUCCCUUUCUCUACCCCACACUUUCUCUUUAUAUAUAUAUAUAAAAUCAAGCAUGAAACUUGAUGCAUAUUUUAACUGGAAUUUUCAAAAUUAAUUUCUGGACUAUUAUAACUCUGAUUUCGGCAAACUUAUAGCCAAACUGAACGUGUAAACCAAAUGUAUCUUAUGACACCAAAAGCCUUGCUAUCUGAAUCUGUAGUGUAAUUGAAAAUUUCAGGAUGUUAAUUAGAUAAUUAAAUGAUCUUCAAAUUUUAGAUGAUUAGUGUCAGAUCGAGCAUGUUGAUGAGGCAAAUCCAACUGACACAAGAUUGCUUUAUGUCGACAAUAUAAAUGUACUUAAAUGCUAAACAAAUGUUCUAUGAGCAAAGUAAUCAAUACAAGUUGAAUGGAGUUUUCCAUAUAUUUUUCAUAUUAAUGGGAUGAGACAUUCAUAAAUAUCUGUAACCAUUGUGGAGCAUGGGAAGGACUAUCAAAAUGGUGGGCAUAUUUUUACAAUUAAUGACUUAUUGUUAUAUUCAAAACUCAAAACUUCCUUACUUGUAUUCUGCUUUCCUCCAUAAUGUAAUCGUCAAUAUUUCUCUUGGAAGAAUUGUGCUGGUGAUUGCCUCACCAAUGAGUGACUGAUCUUCUACAACCUAAGAUGCUUAUCUCAUUUUGCAACGGCAAACAUCAAGGAUGGCCUCAAAAUUUUCAGGCAACCAAUGCUAUUAUUUUUCUUAUAUAUGCUCGAGGUGAGUGUACUUCUAGAAAGCUGCUUUUUUGUGUGUUGGAAUGAAAGUCAUAUUGUCCUCUCUCUCUUUCUUUCCUAAAGGACUGUGCAGUAACCAUGGUUAUUUGAGAUGAUCUGCAUAUAUAUGUGUGUAUAUUAUAAAAAAAAUGCUCAGCAUAUCUUACUGGCAACCCAAGUGACGCUAUUUCUUCUUAUUCAUUACAUUGGUAAUUCAA